rnacentral:rRNA from 1 species
UGAGGAAUAUUGCACAAUGGACGCAAGUCUGAUGCAGCAACGCCGCGUGGAGGAUGAAGGCCCUUGGGUUGUAAACUCCUUUUUUCGGGGAAGAGAAUGGACGGUACCCGAAGAAUAAGUCACGGCUAACUACGUGCCAGCAGCCGCGGUAAUACGUAGGUGGCAAGCGUUAUCCGGAAUUACUGGGCGUAAAGCGCACGCAGGCGGUCUUGUAAGUUUGACGUGAAAGCUCUCGGCUUAACUGGGAGAGGUCGUUGAAUACUGCAAGACUUGAGUUUAGGAGAGGGGUGUAGAAUUCCCGGUGUAGUGGUGGAAUGCGUAGAUAUCGGGGGGAAUACCAGUGGCGAAAGCGGCACCCUAGCCUUUGACUGACGCUCAUGUGCGAAAGCGUGGGGAGCGAACGGG